CACAAGCGGAGGAACAUGUGGUUUAAUUCGAUGAUACGCGAGGAACCUUACCCGGGCUUGAACUGCAGGAGAAGGAUCUAGAGAUAGUGACGCCCUUCGGGGCUCCUGUGGAGGUGCUGCAUGGUUGUCGUCAGCUCGUGCCGUGAGGUGUCGGCUUAAGUGCCAUAACGAGCGCAACCCUUUUCAUUAGUUGCCAUCAGGUAAUGCUGGGCACUCUGGUGAUACUGCCACCGUAAGGUGUGAGGAAGGUGGGGAUGACGUCAAAUCAGCACGGCCCUUACGUCCGGGGCUACACACGUGUUACAAUGGGAGGUACAGAGAGUCGGAUAUACGCAAGUAUGUUCUAAUCCUUAAAGCCUUCCUCAGUUCGGAUUGGGGUCUGCAACCCGACCCCAUGAAGCUGGAUUCGCUAGUAAUCGCGCAUCAGCCAUGGCGCGGUGAAUACGUUCCCGGGCCUUGUACACACCGCCCGUCAAGCCAUGAAAGCCGGGGGCGCUUGAGGUCCGUGACCGCAAGGAUCGGCCUAGAGCGAAACUGGUAAUUGGGGCUAAGUCGUAACAAGGUAACCGUA
rnacentral:rRNA from 1 species